rnacentral:misc_RNA from 1 species
AAGUCGUAACAAGGUUUCCGUAGGUGAACCUGCGGAAGGAUCAUUAAUGAAAUGAUGAUUUUUUGGGGUUUUCCCUGAAAAAUAAUUCACCAUUUGUGCACUGUUAUAAGAUAUACUUUGGUUAGUGCUUUGAUUUCAUUUUUUUUGAAAUCAACUUCUUGCUUACUCUAUCCUUCCGAGGACAGUUGGCUAUGAAGCGGCCUACCAAGGUUUUUUAUCAAACACUUAUAUUUUUGUCUGACCUAAAUUUUUAUAAUAAAAUCAUAACUUUCAACAACGGAUCUCUUGGCUCUC